AUUGAACGCUGGCGGCAGGCCUAACACAUGCAAGUCGAACGAGUGGCGGACGGGUGAGUAAUGUCUGGGAAACUGCCCGAUGGAGGGGGAUAACUACUGGAAACGGUAGCUAAUACCGCAUACCAUCGGAUGUGCCCAGGUGGGAUUAGCUGGUAGGUGAGGUAACGGCUCACCUAGGCGACGAUCCCUAGCUGGCCGGAGAGGUUGACCGGCCACACUGGAACUGAGACACGGUCCAGACUCCUACGGGAGGCAGCAGGGGGGAAUAUUGGACAAUGGGCGAAAGCCUGAUGCAGCAAUGCCGCGUGUGUGAAGAAGGCCUUCGGGUUGUAAAGCUCUUUUGGCGGGGAGGCGUUACCCGAAGAGGAAGCACCGGCUAACUCCGUGCCAGCAGCCGCGGUAAUAC
rnacentral:rRNA from 1 species